rfam:Pediculus humanus corporis strain TSDA 1103172095258, whole genome shotgun sequence.
GUAGUUACGGUGAUAUGGUACCAGAAACAAUUGCGGGAAAAAUUGUCGGUGGAGUUUGUUCAUUGAGUGGUGUACUCGUCAUUGCUCUUCCUGUACCGGUUAUCGUAUCAAAU